rnacentral:lncRNA from 1 species
UUGCCUGACAUCGGUUUCACCUCCACCACGGUCCCCAAGAUGAUUGUGGACAUCCAGUCUCACAGCAGAGUCAUCUCCUAUGCAGGCUGCCUGACUCAGAUGUCUCUCUUUGCCAUUUUUGGAGGCAUGGAAGAGAGACAUGCUCCUGAGUGUGAUGGCCUAUGACCGGUUUGUAGCCAUCUGUCACCCUCUAUAUCAUUCAGCCAUCAUGAACCCGUGUUUCUGUGGCUUCCUAGUUUUGUUGUCUUUUUUUUUUCUGUCCUCAGUCUUUUAGACUCCCAGCUGCACAACUUGAUUGCCUUACAAGUGACCUGCUUCAAGGAUGUGGAAAUUCCUAAUUUCUUCUGUGACCCUUCUCAACUCCCCCAUCUUGCAUGUUGUGACACCUUCACCAAUAAGAUAAUCAUGUAUUUCCCUGCUGCCAUAUUUGGUUUUCUUCCCAUCUCAGGGACCCUUUUCUCUUACUCUAAAAUUGUUUCCUCCAUUCUGAGGGUUUCAUCAUCAGGUGGGAAGUAUAAAGCCUUCUCCACCUGUGGGUCUCACCUGUCAGUUGUUUGCUGAGUUUAUGGAACAGGCGUUGGAGGUUACCUCAGUUCAGAUGAUGUGUCAUCUUCCCCCAGAAAGGGUGCAGUGGCCUCAGUGAUGUACACGGUGGUCACCCCCAU